UGAAUUGCAAUGAAGUUCAGUUAUAUAUAAUCUAGUCAAAGUCAAAACAGCAAUCUGUUUAGUGAAGAAUUUGCAAUUUCAAAUUUGGUUAGUCCAGAAAAUGGAAUUUAACUUGAAAAGUUAAGAAACUUGAGAACCUUGAAAGAGAGGGAAGUGAUAGGCUGGGCGUGACCAUGCAAUCAUUUAUUUAUACCUAAAGAAAAAUGACAAUCACAGUGAACAGUCAUUGGCAUGCAUUAAACACACAAACAACCCUCCUAAAUGUCUUUAAAUUUUGUUUGCAUGUGUUGAACCAGUUGCGAACUUAUGAUUAUUGCCACAUAUUGAUAUAUCUAUUCCUGCUCUGUGUUCUCAAGUAUUAGUAAUUUGCUGAGCAA
rnacentral:misc_RNA from 1 species